rnacentral:rRNA from 1 species
CGUAGGGUGCAAGCGUUAAUCGGAAUUACUGGGCGUAAAGCGUGCGCAGGCGGUUUGUAAGUCUGUCGUGAAAGCCCCGGGCUCAACCUGGGAAUUGCGAUGGAGACUGCAAGGCUUGAAUCUGGCAGAGGGGGGUAGAAUUCCACGUGUAGCAGUGAAAUGCGUAGAGAUGUGGAGGAACACCGAUGGCGAAGGCAGCCCCCUGGGUCAAGAUUGACGCUCAUGCACGAAAGCGUGGGGAGCAAACAGGAUUAGAUACCCUGGUAGUCCACGCCCUAAACGAUGUCUACUAGUUGUCGGGUUUUAAUUAACUUGGUAACGCAGCUAACGCGUGAAGUAGACCGCCUGGGGAGUACGGUCGCAAGAUUAAAACUCAAAGGAAUUGACGGGGACCCGCACAAGCGGUGGAUGAUGUGGAUUAAUUCGAUGCAACGCGAAAAACCUUACCUACCCUUGACAUGGAAGGAAUCCUGGAGAGAUCUGGGAGUGCCCGAAAGGGAACCUUCUACACAGGUGCUGCAUGGCUGUCGUCAGCUCGUGUC